GCUCUUUAGCGUAUUGGGUCGAGUGUAAACUCAACCUUGUCGGGCGUUUCGCCAGACACUAACUUAUUGAGUGUA
rnacentral:sRNA from 1 species